rnacentral:rRNA from 1 species
AGGAUGAACGCUGGCGGCGUGCCUAAUACAUGCAAGUCGAGCGAAUGGAUUAAGAGCUUGCUCUUAUGAAGUUAGCGGCGGACGGGUGAGUAACACGUGGGUAACCUGCCCAUAAGACUGGGAUAACUCCGGGAAACCGGGGCUAAUACCGGAUAACAUUUUGAACCGCAUGGUUCGAAAUUGAAAGGUGGCUUCGGCUGUCACUUAUGGAUGGACCCGCGUCGCAUUAGCUAGUUGGUGAGGUAACGGCUCACCAAGGCAACGAUGCGUAGCCGACCUGAGAGGGUGAUCGGCCACACUGGGACUGAGACACGGCCCAGACUCCUACGGGAGGCAGCAGUAGGGAAUCUUCCGCAAUGGACGAAAGUCUGACGGAGCAACGCCGCGUGAGUGAUGAAGGCUUUCGGGUCGUAAAACUCUGUUGUUAGGGAAGAACAAGUGCUAGUUGAAUAAGCUGGCACCUUGACGGUACCUAACCAGAAAGCCACGGCUAACUACGUGCCAGCAGCCGCGGUAAUACGUAGGUGGCAAGCGUUAUCCG